rnacentral:rRNA from 1 species
AUUGAACGCUGGCGGCAGGCCUAACACAUGCAAGUCGCGCGGAUGAAGGGAGCUUGCUCCUGGAUUCAGCGGCGGACGGGUGAGUAAUGCCUAUGAAUCUGCCUGGUAGUGGGGGAUAACGUCCGGAAAAGGGCGCUAAUACCGCAUACGUCCUGAGGGAGAAAGUGGGGGAUCUUCGGACCUCACGCUAUCAGAUGAGCCUAGGUCGGAUUAGCUAGGUGGGGGGGGAGAGGCCUACCAAGGCGAAGGUCCGUAACUGGUCUGAGAGGGUGAACAGUCACACUGGAUGUGAGACACGGUACAGACUCCUACGGUAGGCAGCAGUGGGGAAUAUUGGACGAUGGGCGAGAGCCUGAUCCAGCCAAGCGGCGUGUGUGAAGAAGGUCUUCGGAUUGUAAAGUACUUUAAGUUGGGAGGAAGGGCAGUAAGUUAAUACCGUGCUGUGUUGACGUUACCAACAGAAUAAGCACCGGCUAACUUCGUG